CGAAGGCGACUGCAGUCGGCCCUUCCCGGAGUCCCGCUUCGGGGCCGUCCCUGGGCGCUGCGCGUUGGUCCGCCCGAGUCUUGGGGUGGCUUGGGAGAAUGGGUUUGGGGCUCAGGCCUCGAGGUUGCCAAGAGCCUCGCGCUUCCUCAUUUUCCCGCCAGGUCAACGUAACCCGGCAUUUCUCCGAGGAGAGGCCUAAAAAUGAGUGGGGCUGCCGCCCGACUCCUGUGAGAGCCUCGGGGCUUCCAUUCCCGACACCAGGAGGAAAGACCGGCAUUUCUUCCUCGGGCGAAGAACCCAGAAAAUUUUUGAUAUGGUUUCCUGGAUGAAACAGUGACAAAAUCAAGAGAGCUAACCUUGCUUACCCUGCCCAACCCACUUGUGUGAUAUGUUAGCUCCCUGGUCCCUGCUUGAUUCAGACACUACAGAAGAUGUGGGCAUUCUGGCUUCAUUGAUGUGAUGUGCUCUCUAUGAAUUAAAAUUGCAAUUAAUUAUUUUACAUGAAAAUAUGCCUUCUAUGAGAGUGAUACAGACUUCAGCAAAUUUUAACAACUUAUUUUGUAUAUUAACAUUUAUUAAAGACUUUCUU
rnacentral:lncRNA from 1 species